GUAAAGUAGCUUGCACUUUUGAGACCGGCGGACGGGUGAGUAACGCGUAUGCAAUCUGCCUUGUACAGGGGAAUAGCCCAGGGAAACUUGGAUUAAUGCCCCAUAGUAUUAUAGAACGGCAUUGUUUUAUAAUUAAAGAUUUAUCGGUACAAGAUGAGCAUGCGUCCCAUUAGCUAGUUGGUGUGGUAACGGCACACCAAGGCUACGAUGGGUAGGGGCCCUGAGAGGGGGAUCCCCCACACUGGUACUGAGACACGGACCAGACUCCUACGGGAGGCAGCAGUGAGGAAUAUUGGACAAUGGGCGAGAGCCUGAUCCAGCCAUGCCGCGUGCAGGAAGACAGCCCUAUGGGUCGUAAACUGCUUUUAUACGGGAAGAAACACCCCCUCGUGAGGGGGCUUGACGGUACCGUAUGAAUAAGGACCGGCUAACUCCGUGCCAGCAGCCGCGGUAAUACGGAGGGUCCGAGCGUUAUCCGGAAUCAUUGGGUUUAAAGGGUCCGUAGGCGGGCGAUUAAGUCAGUGGUGAAAGUCUGCAGCUCAACUGUAGAAUUGCCAUUGAUACUGGUUGUCUUGAAUCGUUGUGAAGUGGCUAGAAUAUGUGGUGUAGCGGUGAAAUGCUUAGAUAUCACAUAGAAUACCGAUUGCGAAGGCAGGUCACUAACAACGUAUUGACGCUGAUGGACGAAAGCGUGGGGAGCGAACAGGAUUAGAUACCCUGGUAGUCCACGCCGUAAACGAUGGAUACUAGCUGUCCGGCACACAUUGGUGUGCUGGGUGGCCCAGCGAAAGUGAUAAGUAUCCCACCUGGGGAGUACGUUCGCAAGAAUGAAACUCAAAGGAAUUGACGGGGGCCCGCACAAGCGGUGGAGCAUGUGGUUUAAUUCGAUGAUACGCGAGGAACCUUACCAGGGCUUAAAUGUAGUCUGACAGGGGUGGAAACACCUUUUUCUUCGGACAGAUUACAAGGUGCUGCAUGGUUGUCGUCAGCUCGUGCCGUGAGGUGUCAGGUUAAGUCCUAUAACGAGCGCAACCCCUAUUGUUAGUUGCCAGCGAGUCAAGUCGGGAACUCUAACAAGACUGCCGGUGCAAACCGUGAGGAAGGUGGGGAUGACGUCAAAUCAUCACGGCCCUUACGUCCUGGGCCACACACGUGCUACAAUGGCAGGUACAAUGGGCAGCCACUACGCAAGUAGGAGCGAAUCCACAAAACCUGUCUCAGUUCGGAUCGGGGUCUGCAACUCGACCCCGUGAAGCUGGAAUCGCUAGUAAUCGGAUAUCAGCCAUGAUCCGGUGGAAUACGUUCCCGGGCCUUGUACACACCGCCCGUCAAGCCAUGGAAAGCUGGAAGCACCUUGAAAGUCCGUCACCGCAAGGAGCGG
rnacentral:rRNA from 1 species